ACGAACGCUGGCGGCGUGCCUAAUACAUGCAAGUCGAACGGUCUUUCUAUGGAAGCUUGCUUCCACUGAGAAGAUAGUGGCGAACGGGUGAGUAACACGUGGGUAACCUGCCCAUAAGAGGGGGAUAACAUCCGGAAACGGGUGCUAAUACCGCAUAGUUUUCUUGAUCGCAUGAUCGGGAAAGGAAAGACGGCCUUUGUGCUGUCGCUUAUGGAUGGACCCGCGGCGUAUUAGUUAGUUGGUGAGGUAACGGCUCACCAAGACGAUGAUACGUAGCCGACCUGAGAGGGUGAUCGGCCACAUUGGGACUGAGACACGGCCCAAACUCCUACGGGAGGCAGCAGUAGGGAAUCUUCCGCAAUGGACGAAAGUCUGACGGAGCAACGCCGCGUGAGUGAAGAAGGUUUUCGGGAAUCGUAAAACUCUGUUGUCAGAGAAGAACAAGUUGGAGAGUAACUGCUCCAGCCUUGACGGUAUCUGACCAGAAAGCCACGGCUAACUACGUGCCAGCAGCUGC
rnacentral:rRNA from 1 species